rnacentral:rRNA from 1 species
ACGCGAUCGAAGAGUUUGAUCCAGUGCUCAGAUUGAACGCUGGCGGCAUGCCUUACACAUGCAAGUCGAACGGCAGCGCGGAAUGGGGUAACCCGGCCUGGCGGCGAGUGGCGAACGGGUGAGUAAUAUAUCGGAACGUACCCUGGAGUGGGGAUAACGUAGCGAAAGUUACGCUAAUACCGCAUACGAUCCAUGGAUGAAAGCAGGGGACCGCAAGGCCUUGUGCUCCAGGAGCGGCCGAUAUCUGAUUAGCUAGUUGGCGGGGUAAAAGCCCACCAAGGCAUCGAUCAGUAGCUGGUCUGAGAGGACGACCAGCCACACUGGAACUGAGACACGGUCCAGACUCCUACGGGAGGCAGCAGUGGGGAAUUUUGGACAAUGGGCGCAAGCCUGAUCCAGCAAUGCCGCGUGAGUGAAGAAGGCCUUCGGGUUGUAAAGCUCUUUUGUCAGGGAAGAAACGGUGCGGGCUAAUAUCCUGUGCUAAUGACGGUACCUGAAGAAUAAGCACCGGCUAACUACGUGCCAGCAGCCGCGGUAA